AAUAACGCACAAACACUAAAUUAAGAGAUCAGGAAAGCAUCAGAGUUAAGGUUAGUAAGAUGGUGGAGGCGGAAGUAGCUGUGGCGGGUUGGCUGCAAUAUGUUGAAAUAGCUAGCUAUUAUAUUUUAAAAAAUAUGUCAUAUAUUUUGAGUAUGUAAAAUGCUAGUUAAAGAUUAUAUAUAUGAUAUUAUUAUUAUGCAAUAAUUUAUUUAUCGCUCGAUGGAGAGUGCAUGUAGUCGGCCCCUCUUGGACGCUUGACCAAAGCCCUCAUGAUCAUGUUGUGCUAUGCCAAUUUCAUGAGUGAGCUGGUCGGUCAACUCCUUUUGGCGAGCUAGACUCGGUUACCCCAUCAUGUACCGCUUUAUUAAAAUUGUAAUUAAAUGUCCGACUGCUUAGCCGCACGUAUUUGUAGACUGGUUCUAAACCACCAGCGUGCUGAGCCAAGCUUUCCGACUUAAAUAUUAAAUAUGUUAUAAUACUUAGUUUAAUUAUCUAACAA